GAUGAACGCUGGCGGCGUGCCUAAUACAUGCAAGUCGAGCGAACGGACGAGAAGCUUGCUUCUCUGAUGUUAGCGGCGGACGGGUGAGUAACACGUGGAUAACCUACCUAUAAGACUGGGAUAACUUCGGGAAACCGGAGCUAAUACCGGAUAAUAUUUUGAACCGCAUGGUUCAAAAGUGAAAGACGGUCUUGCUGUCACUUAUAGAUGGAUCCGCGCUGCAUUAGCUAGUUGGUAAGGUAACGGCUUACCAAGGCAACGAUGCAUAGCCGACCUGAGAGGGUGAUCGGCCACACUGGAACUGGGACACGGUCCAGACUCCUACGGGAGGCAGCAGUAGGGAAUCUUCCGCAAUGGGCGAAAGCCUGACGGAGCAACGCCGCGUGAGUGAUGAAGGUCUUCGGAUCGUAAAACUCUGUUAUUAGGGAAGAACAUAUGUGUAAGUAACUGUGCACAUCUUGACGGUACCUAAUCAGAAAGCCACGGCUAACUACGUGCCAGCAGCCGCGGUAAUACGUAGGUGGCAAGCGUUAUCCGGAAUUAUUGGGCGUAAAGCGCGCGUAGGCGGUUUUUUAAGUCUGAUGUGAAAGCCCACGGCCCAACCGUGGAGGGUCAUUGGAAACUGGAAAACUUGAGUGCAGAAGAGGAAAGUGGAAUUCCAUGUGUAGCGGUGAAAUGCGCAGAGAUAUGGAGGAACACCAGUGGCGAAGGCGACUUUCUGGUCUGUAACUGACGCUGAUGUGCGAAAGCGUGGGGAUCAAACAGGAUUAGAUACCCUGGUAGUCCACGCCGUAAACGAUGAGUGCUAAGUGUUAGGGGGUUUCCGCCCCUUAGUGCUGCAGCUAACGCAUUAAGCACUCCGCCUGGGGAGUACGACCGCAAGGUUGAAACUCAAAGGAAUUGACGGGGACCCGCACAAGCGGUGGAGCAUGUGGUUUAAUUCGAAGCAACGCGAAGAACCUUACCAAAUCUUGACAUCCUUUGACAACUCUAGAGAUAGAGCCUUCCCCUUCGGGGGACAAAGUGACAGGUGGUGCAUGGUUGUCGUCAGCUCGUGUCGUGAGAUGUUGGGUUAAGUCCCGCAACGAGCGCAACCCUUAAGCUUAGUUGCCAUCAUUAAGUUGGGCACUCUAAGUUGACUGCCGGUGACAAACCGGAGGAAGGUGGGGACGACGUCAAAUCAUCAUGCCCCUUAUGAUUUGGGCUACACACGUGCUACAAUGGACAAUACAAAGGGCAGCGAAACCGCGAGGUCAAGCAAAUCCCAUAAAGUUGUUCUCAGUUCGGAUUGUAGUCUGCAACUCGACUACAUGAAGCUGGAAUCGCUAGUAAUCGUAGAUCAGCAUGCUACGGUGAAUACGUUCCCGGGUCU
rnacentral:rRNA from 1 species